rnacentral:rRNA from 1 species
AAGCGGUGGAGCAUGUGGUUUAAUUCGAAGCAACGCGAAGAACCUUACCAGGUCUUGACAUCCCCUGACAACCCGAGAGAUCGGCGUCCCCUUCGGGGGACAGGGUGACAGGUGGUGCAUGGUUGUCGUCAGCUCGUGUCGUGAGAUGUUGGGUUAAGUCCCGCAACGAGCGCAACCCUCGACCUUAGUUGCCAGCAUUCAGUUGGGCACUCUAAGGUGACUGCCGGCUAAAAGUCGGAGGAAGGUGGGGAUGGCGUCAAAUCAUCAUGCCCCUUAUGACCUGGGCUACACACGUGCUACAAUGGUUGGUACAACGAGUUGCGAGUCGGUGACGGCGAGCUAAUCUCUUAAAGCCAAUCUCAGUUCGGAUUGUAGGCUGCAACUCGCCUACAUGAAGUCGGAAUCGCUAGUAAUCGCGGAUCAGCACGCCGCGGUGAAUACGUUCCCGGGCCUU